rnacentral:rRNA from 1 species
GACGAACGCUGGCGGCGUGCCUAAUACAUGCAAGUUGAACGAUGAUUUCUGGUACUUGUAUCAGAAUGAAGAGUAGCGAACGGGUGAGUAACGCGUGGGUAACCUACCUCUUAGCGGGGGACAACUAUUGGAAACGAUAGCUAAUACCGCAUAACAAUGCUUAACACAUGUUGAGUAUUUGAAAGUACCAAUUGGUACACUAGGAGAUGGACCCGCGUUGUAUUAGCUAGUUGGUAGUGUAAUGGACUACCAAGGCGAUGAUACAUAGCCGACCUGAGAGGGUGAUCGGCCACAUUGGGACUGAGACACGGCCCAAACUCCUGCGGGAGGCAGCAGUAGGGAAUCUUCGGCAAUGGACGAAAGUCUGACCGAGCAACGCCGCGUGAGUGAAGAAGGUUUUCGGAUCGUAAAACUCUGUUGUUAGAGAAGAACGUUGUG